rnacentral:rRNA from 1 species
AUGGUCCAUAGUAUGUGGGAGCGAGCUUCCCGCGCACAUGCUCUGCCAAGGAUUCUACUGUUCUGCAGCGUAGUCACUACCAAGCUCAUUCUCCCAUCUCAAACAAGAGUUCCCGGUGAUUAUCAUCAUAUAACUCUAGCAUAUUGCUGGGCUUGCAGGAUGUGUCCCCGGACAUCCUGGAGGAAGGCAUUGCGGUCCCGUAGAGCUGAAUCCACUGAGGCACUGACUCAGUGUUGGCUGCACCAGGUGUUUAAUCCAACAAGGAAGAGUAUUUGUUGGCGUAAAACCUGGAAAACAGCAUGUAGGUGGUGA